UGCCUAGUAAUACCUCUGGGUGCAGUCACUCAGAUGGCCAUCUGAGUGACUGCACCCAGAGGUAUUACUAGGCAG